rnacentral:misc_RNA from 1 species
AAAGUCGUAACAAGGUUUCCGUAGGUGAACCUGCGGAAGGAUCAUUACAGUGUUCCCUGCCCUUACGGGUAGAAACGCCCACCCUUGUAUAAUAUAUCUUGUUGCUUUGGCAGGCUGCCUUCGGGCACCGGCUUCGGCUGGCUCGUGCCUGCCAGAGGACCCCAAACUCUGAAUAUUAGUGUCGUCUGAGUACUAUAUAAUAGUUAAAACUUUCAACAACGGAUCUCUUGGUUCUG